CUUCCUCUCUUUCGAUCUCUCUUGACACCACCGAAUCAUCUCUAUCAAGAGAUUCAGCCAGAUCUCAAGCUCGCCUUCCCUCUCUUUCGUCACUUUUUUCAUCUCUCGCUCGGCACACCUCUGGAAGAGCUUGGACUCCUUCUCCUUUUUUUCCCUCUCUUAUCCUUUGCUCUCUCUAUUUCCUCUAUUUUGGUAAAGUCGAACGUACACCAGACUGAAAGAGUGAGGGAGACCAGAGACUGAAAGAGAUAGUUUGGCUAAGCAUCCUGGGUUUUUGAUGAAUUCAGGUUUGGAUCAGAGAAAGAUGGAGAGAGCGAGGGAGAGCAGAGGUGGUGCUUUCGGUCGAGUACCCAACAAAGCUCUGAAGGGAGAUUUUAUCAACACCAAGAAAGGUGCUUCUUCUGCUAUGGGUAAUCGAUUUUCAGAUUAUAGACACAAACUGGUAUGUCUAUCACUCCCAGACUCACUCAUUCGUUUAAAACUUUUUGCUUCGAUUCAUUACUCCUCCACUGAAUAUGUAUAUGCCUCAUUUCUUGAAAUCUUAUUGGCCGAGGUGGGAGCCAUCGGUUUUUAGCCGCUAAAAGAUUUCUGUUUUUACGAUUUUAGUUUAUGGGUGUUUUUUGGGUUCUAGUGUUUGGGGAUUUAGUGCUGCAAUUGGGUUCUAGUGAUUGGUUUAUGGACCAAUUGAUGUUUACAGAAACAAUAACAAAAGGAGGAUCAAACCCAAAAGGAGGAGAAAAACGUUAUCAUAUUGGGUUAGGUAUGACUUCUUUAUUGUUAUAUGCAAAUUUUCAAGCUUCGUUUCCAUUGAUUUUCAUAUUCAUCUGAAUUGGUUUGUUUUUCUUCCAUGUUAGAAUUUUUCAGGAGUAUAGCGAUCCUUGGGUGAUUGAUUUCAAGUAGAUAUGUUGUUAUGAUCCUGUAAUGAUACAGUUUAAUCCUUAAUCAUAAGAGUAACACUCUCAUCUAUUCUACAAAUGGCCAAAAUGGCUGUGCAUAU